CCAGCAACAAUCACCACCACCAUGUUAGCCAGCGCCGCCGCGGUCGUCCUAAGAAGCGCCCCAAACACUCCCUGGAAAAGCCCGAGAAGCCCCCGCCACCAGUGAUCAAUGGAGAGGCGGGGCCCGGUCUGCCUGUGGAGAGUGUGGCGAGGGUAGUGCCCGCGAUGGAUGCUGUGGUGAAAGUGUUCUGCGUGCACACGGAGCCAAAUUUCUCACUUCCGUGGCAGAGAAAGAGGCAGUAUAGUUCGAGUAGUAGUGGUUUUGUAAUUGGAGGCAGGAGGGUUUUGACUAAUGCUCAUUCUGUGGAGCACUAUACCCAGGUUAAGCUCAAGAAACGAGGCUCUGAUACCAAGUAUUUGGCUACGGUGCUCGCUAUUGGGACUGAGUGCGAUAUUGCUCUGCUGACAGUCAAUGAUGAUGAGUUCUGGAAAGGAGUCUCACCUGUUGAAUUUGGACAAUUGCCUGCACUUCAAGAUGCCGUGACCGUUGUGGGUUACCCAAUUGGAGGAGACACAAUUUCUGUGACAAGUGGUGUUGUUUCACGAAUAGAGAUCCUGUCUUAUGUUCAUGGGUCCACUGAGCUUUUGGGUUUGCAGAUAGAUGCUGCUAUAAACUCGGGAAAUUCUGGUGGGCCUGCCUUUAAUGACAAAGGACAAUGUGUGGGCAUUGCAUUUCAGUCUCUUAAACAUGAAGACGUUGAAAAUAUAGGGUAUGUCAUACCAACACCAGUCAUCACCCAUUUUAUCCAAGAUUAUGAGAAGAAAGGAGCAUAUACAGGAUUCCCAUUUCUUGGGAUUGAAUGGCAGAAAAUGGAAAAUCCAGAUUUGCGGAUGGCUAUGGGUAUGAAGCCUGAUCAGAAGGGUGUUCGUAUCAGAAGAAUUGACCCCACUGCUCCAGAAUCUGAAGUUUUGAAGCCAUCAGACAUUAUUCUCAGUUUUGAUGGGGUAGAUAUUGCCAAUGAUGGGACAGUUCCCUUUCGGCAUGGAGAGCGCAUAGGUUUCAGCUACCUUGUCUCCCAAAAAUAUACUGGGGAUAAUGCAGCAAUUAAGGUUCUCCGCAACUCUGAGAUUCUAAACUUUGACAUCAAACUUUCACCUCAUCGAAGGCUCAUUCCACCACAUGUCAAAGGCAGACCUCCUUCAUAUUAUAUCAUUGCAGGAUUUGUGUUCUCAACGGUUUCUGUUCCUUAUCUCCGUUCUGAGUAUGGCAAGGAUUAUGAAUAUGAAGCACCUGUGAAGCUUUUGGACAAACUUUUGCAUUCAAUGCCACAA
rnacentral:misc_RNA from 1 species